rnacentral:rRNA from 1 species
GACGAACGCUGGCGGCGUGCCUAAUACAUGCAAGUAGAACGCUGAAGAGAGGAGCUUGCUCUUCUUGGAAGAGUUGCGAACGGGUGAGUAACGCGUAGGUAACCUGCCUUGUAGCGGGGGAUAACUAUUGGAAACGAUAGCUAAUACCGCAUAACAAUGGGUGACCCAUGUCAUUCAUUUGAAAGGGGCAACUGCUCCACUACAAGAUGGACCUGCGUUGUAUUAGCUAGUAGGUGAGGUAACGGCUCACCUAGGCGACGAUACAUAGCCGACCUGAGAGGGUGAUCGGCCACACUGGGGCUGAGACACGGCCCAGACUCCUACGGGAGGCAGCAGUAGGGAAUCUUCGGCAAUGGGGGCAACCCUGACCGAGCAACGCCGCGUGAGUGAAGAAGGUUUUCGGAUCGUAAAGCUCUGUUGUAAGUCAAGAACGAGUGUGAGAGUGGAAAGUUCACACUGUGACGGUAGCUUACCAGAAAGGGACGGCUAACUACGUGCCAGCAGCCGCGGUAAUACGUAGGUCCCGAGCGUUGUCCGGAUUUAUUGGGCGUAAAGCGAGCGCAGGCGGUUUGAUAAGUCUGAAGUUAAAGGCUGUGGCUCAACCAUAGUUUGCUUUGGAAACUGUCAAACUUGAGUGCAGAAGGGGAGAGUGGAAUUCCAUGUGUAGCGGUGAAAUGCGUAGAUAUAUGGAGGAACACCGGUGGCGAAAGCGGCUCUCUGGUCUGUAACUGACGCUGAGGCUCGAAAGCGUGGGGAGCGAACAGG